UACGUAGGGGGCAAGCGUUGUCCGGAUUUAUUGGGCGUAAAGCGCUCGCAGGUGGUUCAUUGCGUCGUGCGUGAAAGACCCCGGCUCAACUGGGGAGGGUCGUGCGAAACGGGUGAACUAGAGGCCAGUAGGGGGAUGCGGAAUUCCGGGUGUAGUGGUGGAAUGCGUAGAGAUCCGGAGGAACACCAGCGGCGAAGGCGGCAUCCUGGACUGGUCCUGACACUCAGGAGCGAAAGCGUGGGGAGCGAUC
rnacentral:rRNA from 1 species